rnacentral:tRNA from 1 species
GCAUCGGUGGUUCAGUGGUAGAAUGCUCGCCUGCCAUGCGGGCGGCCCGGGUUCGAUUCUCGGCCCAUGCA